rnacentral:rRNA from 1 species
UACGUAGGGGGCAAGCGUUGUCCGGAUUUAUUGGACGUAAAGAGCGUGUAGGCGGCCAGGUAGGUCAGCUGUGAAAACUCGAGGCUCAACCUCGAGACGCCGGUUGAAACCAUCUGGCUAGAGUCCGGAAGAGGAGAGUGGAAUUCCUGGUGUAGCGGUGAAAUGCGCAGAUAUCAGGAAGAACACCCGUGGCUAAGGCGGCUCUCUAGUACGGUACUGACGCUGAGACGCGAAAGCGUGGGGAGCGAACAGG